rnacentral:rRNA from 1 species
AUUGAACGCUGGCGGCAGGCCUAACACAUGCAAGUCGAGCGGAUGAAGGGAGCUUGCUCCUGGAUUCAGCGGCGGACGGGUGAGUAAUGCCUAGGAAUCUGCCUGGUAGUGGGGGAUAACGUCCAGAAACGGGCGCUAAUACCGCAUACGUCCUGAGGGAGAAAGUGGGGGAUCUUCGGACCUCACGCUAUCAGAUGAGCCUAGGUCGGAUUAGCUAGUUGGUGGGGUAAAGGCCUACCAAGGCAACGAUCCGUAACUGGUCUGAGAGGAUGAUCAGUCACACUGGAACUGAGACACGGUCCAGACUCCUACGGGAGGCAGCAGUGGGGAAUAUUGGACAAUGGGCGAAAGCCUGAUCCAGCCAUGCCGCGUGUGUGAAGAAGGUCUUCGGAUUGUAAAGCACUUUAAGUUGGGAGGAAGGGCAGUAAGUUAAUACCUUGCUGUUUUGACGUUACCAACAGAAUAAGCACCGGCUAACUUCGUG